GACGAACGCUGGCGGCGUGCCUAAUACAUGCAAGUCGAACGCAGUGGGGACGGGUGCGUAACACGUGGGUAACCUCCCAUCAGAGGGGAUAACACUUGGAAACAGGUGCUAAACCGAUACUGAUGUAUGGACCCGCGGUGCAUUAGCUAGUUGGUGAGGUAACGGCCAACCAAGGCCACGAUGCAUAGCCGACCUGAGAGUGUGAGCGGCCACACUGGGACUGAGACACGGCCCAGACUCCUACGGGAGGCAGCAGUAGGGAAUCUUCGGCAAUGGGCGAAAGUCUGACCGAGCAACGCCGCGUGUGUGAAGAAGGUUUUCGGAUCGUAAAGCACUGUUGUUAGAGAGGCGGUAUCUAACCAGGAAGCCACGGCUAACUACGUGCCAGCCGCCGCGGUAAUAC
rnacentral:rRNA from 1 species